rnacentral:ncRNA from 18 species
AUGACACUAGCAGGAGAGAUCUGAAUUUUUCAGGCGCCGAAGGAGAAAUCUCUUGAAUUCGCUUUUUCAAGGGGGGAAGCUCUCAGGCAAAAGUACUGCUAGAUGACG